AAGUCGUAACAAGGUUUCCGUAGGUGAACCUGCGGAAGGAUCAUUAUUGAAUAAACCUGGCUUGGUUGUUGCUGGUCUUUUCGGAGACAUGUGCACGCCUUGUCAUCUUUAUAUUUCCACCUGUGCACCUUUUGUAGACUUGAAGACAGUUUUCCGAGGCAACUCGGUCGUGAGGAAAUGCUUUAAAUGGCUUUCCUUGAUUGUCUUCAAGCCUAUGUUUCAUAUACACCAUAAGAAUGUAACAGAAUGUCAUUAUUAGACUUAUGUCUUAUAAACUAUAUACAACUUUCAGCAACGGAUCUCUUGGCUCUC
rnacentral:misc_RNA from 1 species